UGUUGCUAGUUUUCUUUUGUGGUUUUGGUGGAAUUAGAUUAGUGGGUUUUUAAUUAAUUUGUUUGCUUGGCUAUUAGGAUGAAUUGGGUUUAUUAUUUUUCUUAUAGUUGUUUGAAGUAUGCACUAAUCUUUUGAUUGAUUUUAUUACUUAUUUUUGUGGUUCUUUGAAGAUUUUGAUGCAAUUGAUUAAUUGGGUUUGUUUGACUUUUCUGGUUUAUAGUUUGGUUAUUGUUUAGAGUCGGUGUUUGAUGUUUCCAUGGUUGUGGAAAUGUUCCAGAGGUUUAAUUAAAAAACUAAAAAUUGGGUUUUAAGUGAUUUCAUUUUAUGGUAUUUAAUCUAUAUUAGAGAUCAUGCAGUUACUAGAAUUUGAGUUUGGGAUGGUCACUUUUGUUUUGAUUAUGUUGUGAUUUCAUUCUUCCAAACUUUGAUAGAUCACACAUUGUAAUUACUUUUAGAGCCAUGAUCCGUGAGAUGCUUAUUCUACGGAUGAAAUAAAUCAAUCAUCUUUGUUUUGUAUUGUACUUGAGAAGCUAAGUAACAAAAGAAUGGGAGGCUUGUCUAUCUAUAAACUAAAUUCAAAACCCCAAUGUUUAGUGUGUAGUUACAAGCCUCUACGAAUUAGGAGUUGGAUCAACCAAUUCCAUUGUUCAAUCUUCCUUCAAUGAUCCUCUGGCCUGUUGUUCACACCCGAUUACUAGUGUGUUUCUAUUUUGCAUUUAGGUUUAUAUAUUUUGAAGAUCAAUUGAGAUAAGUAGAUUUAAUAUAUUCAACCUUCAAAGUAUCAUAAAGUUAUUUACUUUUUAAUGCCUUUCCGUUCACUUUAACAUUUCCAACUUUUAUUUUUUUAGUGUUUUGUAUACAAUGCACCAUGGGCCAUAUGGAUAUUAUCAAAGUCAAAUUCACUAUCAUAAUUUUGAUCUAAUUCACUUAAAGGGUCCUAGUAAAGUCAACCAAAGAUUUUAUAUUUCAUC
rnacentral:lncRNA from 1 species